rnacentral:rRNA from 1 species
UACGAAGGGGACUAGCGUUGUUCGGAUUUACUGGGCGUAAAGCGCGCGUAGGCGGAUCGCUAAGUCAGGGGUGAAAUCCCAGGGCUCAACCCUGGAACUGCCUUUGAUACUGACGGUCUGGAGAUCGGGGAGAGGUUGGUGGAAUUCCGAGUGUAGAGGUGAAAUUCGUAGAUAUUCGGAGGAACACCAGAAGCGAAGGCGGCCAACUGGCCCGAUACUGACGCUGAGGCGCGAAAGCGUGGGGAGCGAACAGG